rnacentral:rRNA from 1 species
GACGAACGCUGGCGGCGUGCUUAACACAUGCAAGUCGAACGGUAAGGCCCUUCGGGGUACACGAGUGGCGAACGGGUGAGUAACACGUGGGUGAUCUGCCCUGCACUUCGGGAUAAGCCUGGGAAACUGGGUCUAAUACCGGAUAGGACUCCUGGCUUCAUGGUUGGGAGUGGAAAGCUUUUGCGGUGUGGGAUGGGCCCGCGGCCUAUCAGCUUGUUGGUGGGGUAAUGGCCUACCAAGGCGACGACGGGUAGCCGGCCUGAGAGGGUGACCGGUCACACUGGGACUGAGAUACGGCCCAGACUCCUACGGGAGGCAGCAGUGGGGAAUAUUGCACAAUGGGCGCAAGCCCGAUGCAGCGACGCCGCGUGAGGGAUGACGGCCUUCGGGUUGUAAACCUCUUUCAGCUAUGACGAAGCGCAAGUGACGGUAGUAGCAGAAGAAGGACCGGCCAACUACGUGCCAGCAGCCGCGGUAA